UACGUAGGGUGCGAGCGUUAAUCGGAAUUACUGGGCGUAAAGCGUGCGCAGGCGGUUAUGUAAGACAGUUGUGAAAUCCCCGGGCUCAACCUGGGAAUUGCGAUGGAGACUGCAAGGCUGGAGUCUGGCAGAGGGGGGUAGAAUUCCACGUGUAGCAGUGAAAUGCGUAGAGAUGUGGAGGAACACCGAUGGCGAAGGCAGCCCCCUGGGUCAAGACUGACGCUCAUGCACGAAAGGCGUGGGGAGCAAACAGG
rnacentral:rRNA from 1 species